rnacentral:rRNA from 1 species
UACGUAGGGACCAAGCGUUGUUCGGAUUUACUGGGCGUAAAGGGCGCGUAGGCGGCAAUUCAAGUCAUCUGUGAAGUCUCCGGGCUUAACUCGGAACGGUCAGAUGAUACUGCUUUGCUAGAGUGCGGAAGGGGCAAUCGGAAUUCUUGGUGUAGCGGUGAAAUGCGUAGAUAUCGGGAGGAACAUCAGUGGCGAAGGCGACCGCCUGGCCCAACACUGACGCUGAGGUGCGAAAGCGUGGGUAGGCAAACAGGA